GGGUGACGUAACUGUUGUGAUGCCUGCCACUCUAGCUCAGUACUCGAAAAUCAUACAGAACCCCUCUACUCUGGAGCUGCAAAAGGCAGCAAAUCAAGGAAGACGGUGCACUUGGGAAAAACUCUCAGCCAUUAAAGCUAACUGUGGAAUUGAGCUUGCACUUGAUGAAUGUGUUGCUAUUCUGAAUCACAUGCGUAGACUGAAAAGGAGUGCCGAGAGAGCGGCUGCUGCUUCUCACGGCUUGUCAAGCACUGUCAGAUUUAAUGCUUCCAGAAGAAUUCCUUCUUGGAACUGCAUUGCACGAGAG
rnacentral:misc_RNA from 1 species